CACACCCAUGGCACGCUGCAGCUCACCCUGCGUGCACACGCACACCCAUUGCACCCUGCGUGCACACGCACACCCCCAUUGCACGCUGCAGCUCACCCUGCGUGCACACGCACACCCAUUGCACCCUGCGUGCACACGCACACCCCCAUUGCACGCUGCAGCUCACCCUGCGUGCACACGCGCGCACACGCACCCCCCCCGCAGCCCCCGCCCGCGCGCCCCGUCACGUGCCCCCCCCGCGCACCCGCACGCAGCGCGGCGGCGCGCGGCGGCGGGAGCGCGGCCGGCAGCGGAGCGGCGUCCGCGGCGCGGUCCGGCUGGCCUGGCGGCGGGAUGAGGAGGAGGAGGACGGCGGCGUGCUGGACGCUGAUGCUGCUCGCCGCUGCUUUUUGCGACGUCGCGGCUGGAAAGGGCGGGCGCGGCGGUGCCCGGGGGGCCGCGCGCGGCAGCGCCCGGGGGGCCUCCCGCGUGCGGGCGAAGGCGGCCCCCCGCUACGGCGCGGCCCGACGGGUGGCGGGGGCGGCGGCGGCGGGGGCCGCGGCCGGCGCGGCGGCGGGGGCCGCCCUGCGCAGGGCCAGGCUCUCCGGGGAGCUCGACGGGGACUAUGGCGCCGAGUACGGGGACACCAACCGGACGGCCGCCGCCAGCUCGUGGACGUCGGCUGCCCGAGCCUGGGACUCUUUGGGCUGGGCCGUGUCCUGGCUCUGCCCGCUCGCCGCCUUCCUCCACCUCUGACGGGCCCCGCUCCUCGCCCUGCCCGGCGCAGCCCGCGGCUUGACCCCAACCCUCCGAAACCCCACGGCCGUCGCAGGAGCCCUGACCGUGCCCGCUCCGGCUCUCCCUGUUUUGGGAUGUUGCGAGGGUAGGACACCCCACGGGGCUGAGGGGCCACAUACGCGGGCCACCAACAGCUCGAAGGACAGCGCCGACCACCCGAGCAGCCAGCACUGCCCACGGCCCAGCCUGGCACUUGCUGUUCCCACCCCCAGCCCGUCCCCCACGACCGGGGAGGUGCCCCCGCCCUGGGGCAGGACCCCACGGGAAGCCUCGGGCUCGCCGCGCACCCCUCCACAGCCUCCCUGUGUAUCUGCAGCUGUGCCAAACCCUGCCACCUCGGGCACCCCGUUCGUACCGCUCCUUUGUACGUGGGUUCCUAAGUGUUUUGAUGAUGACAACGUGGCAAUAAAGCUGGGCAGACAGUA